CAACAAAAGAGGUUUUAAUUAAGGCAGAAGAGUCAGCUCAGACAGCUAGAAGGAAGAGCAGGCCAAGAAAAAUGUUAUUGCAGUGUCACAUCCCUUCAUGCACUACAGCUCUGCCCUCAGGUGGUUGUGGAAAUUCAUCACUCAGACUUUUCCAGCUGCCAUCCCACUCCCAAACUCUUAUCCCUCUCCCACUCCUCUGCCAUCCCACUCCCAACUCAUACCCCUUCUCCCACUCCUCUCCCAGCUGCUGUGGCUGCUGAUCAAGCGAUCCCAGUGAAACACAUGAUGUGGUGUCAAAACUUUGAGGUGACAACACAGCAACACAGCACAGACACCCCGCUCCUGGCAGACACUGCCAGAGACUUGCAGCAAAGCAGUGCUCUGAACUCCUGACUUGCAGGAAAUCUCACAAGAAGCCCCAAACCUGUCUGUGACAGAGGAGGCCUCUCGGGCUCCUCAGAGGGAGCAAGCAGCUGUUUCAGGCUGUACUACAUGCUGUAACACACAGGAGAGCCAGAACAUCCUGGAGCAGCCACAGAGCAAGGGACUGUGGCUCAUGCCCAGGCACAGCAGGAACCUCAGCCUUGAUUUGAAGAGUCACGAGUCACUUGAACAACUGAAGAGGCUUUAAUUUAUGUACAGUAAAAAUACAAACCAGUCAGUGUUUUACAUGGGAUGUACAGCAGCUACUACACACGUUAGUACUCACACGGCUAUUUGCUACUAAGGUGUAUCAGCAUUUGCUACACAGAUCAGCUGAGGCUCAGGGGCUGCUCAUCC